CCUUGCUCAGCACAGUCAGCUGCCCCUGUCCCACAGAAGCUCCACAGAAUGGAGAAAGGACUACAUCAACUGAGCAUGUCCAGGGGCUACAGGAGACCUGCUGAACCCACAGGCACACUGGCAUCAGAAGAGUGACAUCUCUGAUGUCAUGGCAGAUGCUCCAAACAGAGAAAAGGGAGGAGCCAAGAGCCUGCUCUCAGCCCAGGAGACCAGCACCCUGAGUGCAAAGAUGCUUAGACCUGUCCUUCCUGACCCUGCCUGGGGACCCAGGCUCCUCUGCUGCAUCACCCUUUGUCUCCUGGGAGCAGACUCAGAAGACAUGGGACUCUCCCUCAUUCCUACAAUGAGAAUCAAGCUCUUCCUCUGUGUGGCCUGCUGUCUCCUGUGGGCAGGACACAUGGAGGCUGGAAUCACCCAGAGGCCAAGACAUGUCAUCACAGAGACAGGAGAAAAGGUGACUUUGAGAUGCCACCAGACCUACAACUAUGACUAUAUGUACUGGUAUCGCCAAGACCCAGGGCAAGGGCUGCAGCUGAUCCAUCACUCAUAUGCUGUUGGCAACACUGCCAAAGGAGACGUGUCUGACGGGUACAGUGUCUCCAGAUCAAACACAGAGGACUUCCCCCUCACUCUGGAGUCCACCACCCGCUCCCAGACAUCUGUGUACUUCUGUGCCACCAGUGACUACACAGUGCUCCAGGGCCACCUCCUGGCUGCACAUAAAUAGGAAGACUGUGGCUGCCUGUGCUCAGGAGCCCUGGCCACCCCAGGAAGCAGAGCCCUUGCCAGCCUGGGGACCUCACAGCCUGGGCAACAGGCCCUCAGUGCUGAGGUCCUCCCCUGCCAGUCUCAGCCUGACCUCAGACCUCCCAGCCCCCUUAGCUUGCUGCUGCUCUCUUCAGCAGCCCUCUCUUUCUACCUGCAAAAGGAAAAUGCAUCUUAGUGGAGGUUCCUGUUGAAGGCCUUGCCAGUCUCAAGGCCACCACCUUCUCACCCCAGGGCUUCAGUGUCUUCCUCAUCCUCCUAUAGGCUCUUCUACUUCAGCCCUGAGUCUCUCCCCCAUGACCUCUGCUCCUGGCUGCCUCCAUCCUGGGGGGAAGCCCUAGGGGUCUGUGUCAUGUGCCUUCCUGUCUCUCCAUCCUCCAUGCACCUGUCCCCUGGCUGUCAGCUCCUGUCACACUCUCCUCUGUGAGUUAUUUCCCCCAUGAGGACUUGUCCUCACAGGGUGUUCCUUUGACACUAAACAUAUGUCCCUCCUCUCAUUCCUGGGUCUACUUCAUUCCAUCAUGAAAGUGUAUUUCAGGUACACUAAUCCUUAAUUGUGACAUGCAAAACUUUAAAUUUAUUAGAAAAGAUAAAGGAAAUAGUUUUAUCAUUUCCUUGAAGGAGGAUUUGACUUUAUUCAAGACACAAAAGAAGACAAGCCAUAAAGAAUGAUUUUUU